GGCUUUGCUUUUUUUUUUUUUUUUUUUUUUUUAAGAAAAAGGUUUUCUAGUUUCUUCUACAUUAAAAAUAAUCCCUCCUUCUCAUAAAGCACAAUUUUACAGAGGAAAAGGGAGAUGUGAAACUAUACACAAUUCAAAUCUAAUUAAUAUAUAAUUUUUUUGUGGAAUACAGAUGGAGGGAAUACAUCACAAUACUAAAGGUGAUUAUCUUUGGAUGGUGGGAUUACAGGUGAUUAUAUAUUUUUUAUAUUUCUAUAGUUUAAAAAUAUUCCAUGAUGACCUAUAAUUACUUUUACUUAUUUUUUGAGACAAAAUCUCACCCUGUUGACCAAGGCUGGAGCGCAGUGGUGCAAUCUCGGCUUAGUGCAAUCUCGGUGUAGUCUCGACCUCACAGGCUCAAGUGAUCCUCCCACCUCAGCCUCCGGAGAAGCUGGGACUACAGCUCUUUGCCCAGCUUCCAGUGACUCCUCUGUGCCUGGAGAGAAGGGCAAGCGCCUUACUCAUGCCUUGAGGUUGCUGACCACUUCCGUCACCAGCCUCGCUCCUUCCAGACCUGCCCUGGGAGUCCCUGCCUCCUGGCCUUCACCUGCAUCACGGUCUGCACUUCUCAGAGCCCUGCCCUUCCUUGAAGAACAAAGCCUGGCCAAAUUGUGUCAGCCUUCUGGCCUGCAGUGACCCCUGCUUACAUCGUACAUAACAAUAGCUAUAACUUAUUGACAUUAACUUCAGGUCACAUAGCAAAAGUGCUCUCAUUUAAAUCUUAGGCCACCAGAGGAUCCAUAGACUAAAAUGUUAACAGCAUCUCCUGGAGUUGUGGAGUGUGGUGACCCUAUGUGAUCCUCCUGUGCCACUGAGAGAUAUAUUAUUAACCCAGUUUCACUGAUAAGAUAACUGAGGCUCAGAGAGGUCAAGUAACUUGCCCAUGGUCACACAGUGGGUCCAUGGCAGAGCUGGGAGGUGAUCCCUAGUCAGUUCCCUCCAAGUCCAGGAUUUUCUCACUCCCACAAUGGUGUCUCCCUUAAUGACUCUCACAUUCCAGCCUCUGAGGGCAGGAAGGGUAUGUUCUGAGUUGAACACACAGAGAGCACUCAAUGAUGUCUGGUGGUGAAGAUGUUAAUCAUGAGCUCAAUCAAGGUUUAUCAUUAAAUCAACAAGUCUUCCUAGUGUGUCUGGGAGCUCUGGGGCCCAGGGACAGGCCUACUGUAGUUCAGUGUUGUAUUCUGGCACCUGGUGGUUUCUGGCACAUAGCCCAUGUUCAUUAAAUGACAUGAAUUGAUUGUCCAUUCAAAUAAUAAAACAAUAAAUAAAUAAUACUAGCUAACAGGUAUGGAGUGCCUACAAGCCAGCCACCUCAGGGAGUUUCCAGGACAGUUGAGGAGAAACAUAACACUGUUGACAAGAGCUACAACGUAGGGUUUUACACCAAAACAGUGUCUACGUAAACAGUGUCUAUCAAAGAGAGAAAAAUGAUGGGCAGACACCCUGAUCCUUCCCACAGUGCUAAAGGCCAUGCCAGCCACUGUCCCCAUUACGACUUGCAUAUACUGACUGCCGAAGCACACAAACCUGAAUUUUCCGUCUGCAUCCAUCGUUCUGUCUGUUCGGAUCACAUCUGGAUACUACUGUUGCCUCUCCAGACUGGAUAACCAGUCUGCUGAGGGCCAGAAGAUGGUGAGAUGGAAACUAGUCAUGUUUACUUGGAGAAGAGAAAUGAAGACCGUCUUUAACACCUGACAGGUUGCUCUUCCCAAGAGGGGCCAGAGGGCAACAGCCAUGGUCAACAGCUCCAGGCACCCCUGAGGAAGCCUGCUCCAGCUGGCAGGGCUGUCUGGCAAGGGACCAGUCCCUCCUCUGGAGAAGUGGUGAGCCCAGUGGGCUGCCUCUCCAGCAGGAUCCUGUAGAGACCUUACUCUCUACAAUGCACACUCCACACACUUGCUCACUUGACAAACACUUAUUAUAACUGUCACCCUGGGCCCAUUCCAGGUUAGGGACAUAAGGAUGAAUAAAACAAGGUCUGUACCAGUAGAGAACAUCAGUCCUCUAGGGGAGAAAGUCAGGAAAGCCUCAUCCUGAGCCUUCGACUCCUUACUGUCCAUCCUCUAGGCUCCUGUCUCAGCUUCUGCUGAAGGCUAUUUUCUUCCUUGUAUUCUGCAGUGACCAGGCAUAUGGCAGAUAAUCAACAAAUACAGGCAUCCCUGAAGAGGGUAUCCUGGGAUAAAAGCCCCAGCUGGAUCAGUGCUAUACAGGGGCCAACUGGGGGUGGGUUCCAGGCAGGGUCAUUUGCAAGGGUCCCUCUGCCCCUUCAAGUCCUGCCAGACAGGCCUUGGCCAUGGUUUCUUCCUGCCCCUGUCCCCUGACCACAGUUGAUCUCCCCUGGCUGUUAUGAAAUGUCAAAGAAUGUCCUGCAAUCCUAAAUUCCAUAAUGAUCUUUAUCUUCUGUUCCCUCUGAGGCUCCUCAAUCUGCAGUAACAGCUGUGGUUCAGCAAGCAGUGCGGCACUCUGGAGUGCUGUUCUGAAACAGGGCCGGCGUGGGGCAGAGCUCAUCUGCUGCCCUAUCCAUUCACUGUGCUGUUCGGGGCUAGAGAAGAUUCAUGUGUGUAUAUGCUUUUUAAAAAUUGUGAAACAAUAAUUAUGCAGAAAAAUACAUAGAAUAUAUGUUCAGUUUAACAAAUAAUCAUAAAGCAAAUCUCUAUAAAACCACUGCUGCUCUGCAGUGACCCCUGCUUCCCCCUAAGUCGUGCAUAACAAUAGCUACAAUUUACUGACCAUGAACUUCAGGUCACACAGCAAAGGUGUUCUCAUUUAAUCUUUGGCCACCAGAGGCUGCAUAGACUAAAAUGUGAACAGUGUCCCCUGCAGUUGUGGAGUGUGGUGACCCUAUUGGAUCUUCUCAUGCCACUGAGGGAUAUACUGUUUUCUGUAGAGAAGUCCAGCAGAGUCACUGUCCUGGGGGGCAUCCUUCUUGAUCGCCCCCAUGCCAUGAAGGCCCAUUCCUUGCCCAGGGCUCUAGAGUCUGAGCUUCUCCAAGAGGGAAUGGAGUCUUUCGCAGAGGGGCUGUGGAGCCUCGUAAGGCUGAAUCUAACCACGAGCAGGGAUUUUGGGCAGCUGCAUAUCCCAGAUGGUUUCCCAGUGGAUCAGCUUCCUGUUGCUGCUCUAAUAAACUAACAUAAACUUAGGGGCUUAAAACAACACAAAUUUCUUUUCUUAUAGUUCCGUAGGUCAGAAGUCCAAAACAGGUCUCACUGGGCUAAACUGAAGGUGUCAGCAGGGCUGCAUUCCUUCCUGGGGGCUCUAGUAGAGAAUCUCUUUCCUUUCUUCCCCUUUCCAGCUUUUAGAGGCUGCCUGCAUUCCUUGGCCUGCGGCCCCUUCCUCCACCUUCAAAGCCAGCACUGGCUGGCCAGGUCUUUCAUAUAUUGCAAUCUCUCUGCUUCUGCUUCUGCUUCUGACCCUUCUGCCUCUCUCUUCUCCAUUUAAGAAUGCUUGUGAUUACAUUGGGCUCACCCACCCCAGUUUCUACCCAAUAAUCCAGGGUAAUCUCCCAAACUUAAAGAGAGAAAACAAUACUAGCACCCCCAAAGCACCUACGUGUUCCCCUACUAAUCACAACCCCAACCCUCCCUUCUGCAUAAGUAGACAUUUGUAAUAAUUCUGUGCUUUUUGUAGUUUGACCUCCUCUGCAUGUAUCCUUAACAAUACAGUUUUGCCAGCUGUUAAAUUUUUGCUAAAAGGA
rnacentral:lncRNA from 1 species